GUGGGGAAUAUUGGGCAAUGGGGGAAACCCUGACCCAGCGACGCCGCGUGAGGGAAGAAGGCCUUAGGGUCGUAAACCUCUGUUGUGUGGGAAGAAGAGCGUGACGGUACCACACGAGGAAGUCCCGGCUAACUACGUGCCAGCAGCCGCGGUAAUACGUAGGGGACGAGCGUUGUCCGGAUUUACUGGGCGUAAAGGGCGCGUAGGCGGUCAUUUAAGUCAGCUGUGAAAUGGUUUGGCUUAACCGGAUCAUGCGGUUGAAACUGGAUGGCUGGAGUGCUGGAGAGGCAAGUGGAAUUCCCAGUGUAGCGGUGAAAUGCGUAGAGAUCGGGAGGAACACCAGUGGCGAAGGCGACUUACUGGACUGUAACUGACGCUGAGGCGCGAAAGUGUGGGGAGCAAACAGGAUUAGAUACCCGAGUAGUCC
rnacentral:rRNA from 1 species